AUUGAACGCUGGCGGCAUGCUUUACACAUGCAAGUCGAACGGUAACAGGCCGCAAGGUGCUGACGAGUGGCGCACGGGUGAGUAAUGCAUCGGAACGUGCCCAGUCGUGGGGAUAACUACUCGAAAGAGUAGCUAAUACCGCAUACGAUCUAUGGAUGAAAGCGGGGGACCGUAAGGCCUCGCGCGAUUGGAGCGGCCGAUGUCAGAUUAGGUAGUUGGUGGGGUAAAGGCUCACCAAGCCAACGAUCUGUAGCUGGUCUGAGAGGACGACCAGCCACACUGGGACUGAGACACGGCCCAGACUCCUACGGGAGGCAGCAGUGGGGAAUUUUGGACAAUGGGCGCAAGCCUGAUCCAGCAAUGCCGCGUGCAGGAAGAAGGCCUUCGGGUUGUAAACUGCUUUUGUACGGAACGAAACGGCUCUGGUUAAUACCCGGGGCUAAUGACGGUACCGUAAGAAUAAGCACCGGCUAACUACGU
rnacentral:rRNA from 1 species